CAGAGUAUUGAUGGCGGCUCACAGUUUGCUCCCGGAUAUGUACUGCAACACAUUUGAUGGGGUCUGAUCGGACUUUUUGCAUACAUGGCCAGUUAUCCAAGGUCUUGAGAUUAACGUCGAAACCGCACAAGAGUCGUGAAUCCAAACAGGAACAAUUUGUUGACUGAUCUAGGGCUAGCUAGCCUCUGGUCGCAACGGUUUGUUUGUGUGCGUGGCUGCACAUUUUAGGACAGCGGGAAAAAAAUCGACGUUAGACAUUUUUAUGUGAUUUUGUGGCACUGGCUGGCUAGUGUAUCGGAUUCCGUGUUUGCUAGUUUCUCCUGUCUGACUAACGCCGCUUGCGUUACUUCAGAAAGCAGAGGGAAGUGGUUAGCCGACCUGAUUAGCUGUAACCGUAAUAGUUCAAGCUCGUCUGAAGUCAGUGGUCUCAAGUGGAUGGUUUGAGUCUUUUCUAUGUUUCACCGUUGCCCUCAGCUGUCAGCAUGUUGAAAACACGUCAGUGUUUACUGGGGAUCCGCACUUUCCUUGGAGUCACGUCCAGAAUAUGGAGUUUCAUCUUAUACAUCCUCCGGAAACAUCUACGGACGAUAAUCCAGUACCAAACAGUGCGUUAUGACACAUUACCUCUCUCCCCUGUUUCCAGAAACAGACUUAAUGCAGUGAAAAGAAAGAUCUUAGUGUUGGAUCUAGAUGAGACUUUGAUUCACUCUCACCACGAUGGCGUCCUUAGACCAACAGUGAGGCCUGGUACGCCUCCAGACUUUAUCCUGAAGGUGGUAAUAGACAAACACCCUGUCAGGUUUUUUGUCCAUAAAAGGCCACAUGUCGAUUUCUUUUUAGAAGUGGUUAGUCAGUGGUAUGAGUUGGUAGUGUUUACAGCUAGUAUGGAGAUAUAUGGAGCAGCUGUAUCAGAUAAGCUUGAUAACAACAGGGGUAUCCUUAAAAGAAGAUACUACAGACAGCACUGCACUUUGGAUCUAGGGAGCUACAUAAAAGAUCUGUCUGUAGUACACAAUGAUCUCUCAAGUAUAGUUAUUCUGGACAACUCGCCUGGAGCUUAUCGAAGUCACCCAGACAAUGCAAUACCUAUAAAGUCAUGGUUCAGUGACCCAAGUGACACAGCACUUCUUAACCUGCUUCCAAUGUUGGAUGCAUUGAGAUGAUAAAGAAGAUGAGGAUUAACCCAGUGCAAGAGAAAGAAAGAAAAUGACUGACAGCACUACGCAAAUGAAUUUGCUUCCAUCAUAUACAAUAUAAGCAUAAAACACUUUGGUUGUAUCUGUUUCUAAAGAUGAUGAUGAAGAUGAGGAUUAACACACAACGCAAUGAUUGACAGCAAAACGCAACUAUAUUCCUCUUAAACAUACAAUAUAUACAACAUGCUGUGUUUACCUCAGAUGUUCGCUCCGUCCUCAGUCGAAACCUCCACCAGCAUCGGCUCUGGUGAUUGUAUUUUGUUUUUACAUGACUCUACACGCUCAGUGUUGACCUCUUCUUUGCUGGAACUGUGAGCCUCUCAUCAUUAUGUCUACAUUCAUAUGGACUUAAGCUACAGUGAUUCAUAUGGACUCCUCUGAGGAAAUGCUAGGAGAAGACAUCGGAGGACAUAAAGCAGAGACAAAGACAUAAUGGGGAAGCUAUUACAAAUAAACUCAAAUCAAACGGAGAGGCCCACAUUUCUUUCUUAUGCUUAAACAAUGAUGGAAACUCUGCCUUGCAGUUGUUGGAUACGACGUGUGCAUGUUGUUUUUCUGUGCGAAUAGGGGCGGAUGCUUGGGAUUUCUGCUUUACCUGGCGUUUAGGGUAAAUCAAGAAAUCUGUGAACAGGCUACUACUUCCAGUCACUUUCCACAGUUCAUUAGCACUUAGUUCCUCAUUUUUGUUCAGUAUGACCCCAGCAGAAGUGGUCAAUUCAUCAAUUUUCUCUCUCUCUCUUGCUUUCUCUCGCUCUCUCUUUCUCUUGCUCUCGCGCUCUCUCUCUCCCUCUCUUGCUCUCUUUUUUUGUCUGCCAUCUCAGGUCUAUGUUAUAAGCUGGAGAGCUGUUAACACCAUUACUAAUAGUAUCCAAUGGUACAGAAAAUCUUUAAGAUCACCAUAGGGAAAACAAAAGUUCAUUAUUACCAUUAUUACAGCUUAUGGUAUUUUCUGUGUUUUCUAUUGGCUCAUAUGUGGAAUCUUGGAUAAAUAAGUAAGGUUUUAUCAUCUGUUCUAAAGACACUUUUUUAGACACUUUUCAAUAUGGAUACAGCAGUGAUAGAGGGAGAGAUGCUAAGCCACAAGGACUCUAUACAACAAAAUAAAAUGGAGCCUUUCUCAACAACUGACUUGACCAUCUCUUUCACUUUUUUGGGGCAUUUUACAUAUUUAAAUGGGUGAAUUUUAUAGG